CUAACUUUUCCAUUCCGCUCACCGCGGGGGCACGACGCGCGCUCACGAUCGUUUCUCAGGACCAUAUCUAUUGUCUAGAGAGCAUCUGUUUGCAAGACACGGCCUGUCUGUGGUCAGUGGCCACCCCUCCCUGUCCCGAGACAAGUUUCUGCUUUUGUCGAUGAAAAUGGUCAUUCUGACCACUUGAGCAGUCAUCUUGUGGUUUGCUUCUUAGUUUCCAUCCUUUAACAACAAAUGUAAUGGCACAUUUAAAAAUGACGAUACUAAAUAAUAAAAAGUUGAAGUUU